UACGUAGGGUGCGAGCGUUUAAUCGGAAUUACUGGGCGUAAAGCGUGCGCAGGCGGUUGUGCAAGACAGAUGUGAAAUCCCCGGGCUCAACCUGGGAAUUGCAUUUGUGACUGCACGGCUAGAGUGUGUCAGAGGGGGGUAGAAUUCCACGUGUAGCAGUGAAAUGCGUAGAGAUGUGGAGGAAUACCGAUGGCGAAGGCAGCCCCCUGGGAUAACACUGACGCUCAUGCACGAAAGCGUGGGAGCAAACAGG
rnacentral:rRNA from 1 species